rnacentral:rRNA from 1 species
GAAAUGUUGGGUUAAGUCCCGCAACGAGCGCAACCCUUAUCCUUUGUUGCCAGCGGUCCGGCCGGGAACUCAAAGGAGACUGCCAGUGAUAAACUGGAGGAAGGUGGGGAUGACGUCAAGUCAUCAUGGCCCUUACGACCAGGGCUACACACGUGCUACAAUGGCGCAUACAAAGAGAAGCGACCUCGCGAGAGCAAGCGGACCUCAUAAAGUGCGUCGUAGUCCGGAUUGGAGUCUGCAACUCGACUCCAUGAAGUCGGAAUCGCUAGUAAUCGUGGAUCAGAAUGCCACGGUGAAUACGUUCCCGGGUCUUGUA